rnacentral:rRNA from 1 species
GACGAACGCUGGCGGCGUGCUUAACACAUGCGAGUCGAACGGAAAGGCCCUGCUUGCAGGGUACUCGAGUGGCGAACGGGUGAGUAACACGUGGGUGAUCUGCCCUGCACUUCGGGAUAAGCCUGGGAAACUGGGUCUAAUACCGGAUAGGAGCCAUUUUUAGUGUGAUGGUUGGAAAGUUUUUUCGGUGUAGGAUGAGCUCGCGGCCUAACGGCUUGUUGGUGGGGUAAUGGCCUACCAAGGCGGCGACGGGUAGCCGGCCUGAGAGGGUGGACGGCCACAUUGAGACUGACGUGCGGCCCAGACGCCUACGUGAGGCAGAAGUGGGGAAUAUUGAACCAUGAGCGCAGGCCUGAUGCAGCGGCGCCGCGGGGGGGAUGACGGUCUUCGGGUUGUAGACACCGUUCGCUAGGGACGAAGCUUUUUGUGACGGUACCUAGAGAAGAAGCACCGGCUAACUACGUG